GGAACGAACGCUGGCGGCAUGCCUAACACAUGCAAGUCGAACGAGACCUUCGGGUCUAGUGGCGCACGGGUGCGUAACGCGUGGGAAUCUGCCCUUCGGUUCGGAAUAACAGUUAGAAAUGACUGCUAAUACCGGAUGAUGACGUAAGUCCAAAGAUUUAUCGCCGAAGGAUGAGCCCGCGUAAGAUUAGCUAGUUGGUGAGGUAAAGGCUCACCAAGGCUACGAUCUUUAGCUGGUCUGAGAGGAUGAUCAGCCACACUGGGACUGAGACACGGCCCAGACUCCUACGGGAGGCAGCAGUGGGGAAUAUUGGACAAUGGGCGAAAGCCUGAUCCAGCAAUGCCGCGUGAGUGAUGAAGGCCUUAGGUUGUAAAGCUCUUUUACCCGGGAUGAUAAUGACAGUACCGGAGAAUAAGCUCCGGCUAACUCCGUGCCAGCAGCC
rnacentral:rRNA from 1 species